CCAGACUCUUCCAGAUCUGCCAGUCAACCAGACUCUUCCAGAUCUGCCAGUCAAUCAGACUCUUCCAGAUCCGCCAGUCAGCCGGGAUCUGCCAGAACUGCCAGUCAACCAGGAUCCGCCAGAUCCGCCAGUCUGCCAGGAUCCGCCAGAACUGCCAGUCGGCCAGGAUCUGCCAGUCGGCCAGGAUCUGCCAGUCGGCCAGGAUCUGCCAGUCGGCCAGGAUCUGCCAGUCGGCCAGGAUCCGCCAGUCUGCCAGGAUCCGCCAGUCUGCCAGGAUCCGCCAGUCUGCCAGGAUCCGCCAGUCUGCCAGGAUCCACCAGAAGUGCCAGUCAGCCAGGAUCCGCCAGUCUGCCAGGAUCCGCCAGUCUGCCAGGAUCCGCCAGAUCUGCCAGUCGGCCAGGAUCUGCCAGUCGGCCAGGAUCUGCCAGUCAGCCAGGAUCCGCCAGUCUGCCAGGAU
ensembl:lncRNA